UUUUUUUUUUUUUUGCUUAUUUAUAGGUGCUGUAUUUUAUUAUCUGAUUGUUAGGAAGGGAUGAAAGGGGGCAAAUAUUCUUUAGAGGGAUAGACUGCCGGCAGUAUUGGGUAUAAUUUACAAGAUGUAGUUGUCAUACUGUAUAUUAUUGAUUGAAGACUUUUUGACCGUAUUGUGUAUCAUUGAACUUUUGUCUUAGGUCAGCAUCUUUUUGAUGACACUUUAAUGGUGCAUUCAUUACUUCUUAAGUUUAAUUAAUAUUACUUUUCUGAUUUUGGGGGAGGGAGGGAUGGGGAGAGGAGUUCCGACUUUAAAGGUAUGUUCCCAAUAUUACACCUCAGUGUGCUUGUAUUAAUUCAUUAGUAGGAUUUUUGACUGUAAGAUGUGAAACCACAUUUCUUGCAUGAUGUUUUAGAACUUAUGUAUUUCAUUUACAGUCUCUUAACAUGCAACAGCAGCACUUAGCGCAAGUUUUCACAAAUUAAGAAUCAGUACACUAAAAUCAGUCCUUUUCAUGAUUGAGAAAAGAAGGCUCUAGGAGGCUGAAAGGCAGGGAUUUAUUUCCUAUUUUUACUGCUAGCUGUUUCAGGAUACCUCCUUGGGUAAUUGGGGACUUGUGAUGCAAACCUAAAAUUGAGAAACAGAGAGAGCAACUGCCCCUUUCUAUGAUGAGCUGAGGAGGCGAUUUGUAAUAACAGACACCAGUGUGUGACAGCACGUGCUGGAAGCGGUUAUGGCUUCUGAUCUGGAGUGCAGUUAGUCCGCGGGAACAGCCAGCGAGGGAAAUAACAUGGUGAAGCAAAGUGUUACCUCUCUGUAUGUGUACAGUGUCCUGGUUUGACUUACAAAGCACAGCUCCAUCGAUAAAUGCACGUCCUGGUAAAAAUACACAUACCUUAAUACAAGUCAUAACAAGAUGUGUCUUCAGGCAAGAAGCAAAACUUGUCACUGGAAGACGCAGAUAUUUUCUUAUGUUCUUUAUUUUUUUUCUUUGUUGUUGUUUGGUUCAGGUUGGGUUUUUUUAUAGGCAAUACACUUGCCAGUCUGUCUCUACUGUCCUUGUCUGCUGAUUUGAGAUCCAGGUGCUUGAUGCAGUCAAGUGGUUACUCUCGGCUUUCUCCAUAGUGAGGGGUUUUUUUCUGUUUGAAGAUUUAUUUUUGUUCUUUAAAUUAAUAUUCCCCAAACUGUUCUUGUGCCUGUGUCUAUAUGAUUGCAUUCCAUGAUGCUUACUGAGAGCUCUUGCUGCAUUGUACGACAGCAGAACUGUAUUCGUAGGUUGAACGCAAAUGCAGCACUUAAGGUCAGUCUCUCUUCUUAAUAAGCAAUACGUAAGUGCCUUGAAACUUAGAUCUUCUGGUUUUUUUAUGUUUAUUUUUGUUUUGCUUUUCAGGUUUCCACUAGUUCUGUAGGAUUCUUUAGCGUCUGCCCAGUUUUUAAUGCUGUAAUGAUUUUUAAAAAGCAUAUCUGUAGCUUGCCCUAGAGGAAAUCUUUCUUUUAUAACACUAACUGUUAAUUCUAAGCUCCAUUAUUACAUUUGAAUUGUGUAAUUUUGCUGGAUAAAGACAGCAUUCAUAAGUCAGAAGUCACUCCAUCCUGCCAAGGGUUGUCAUUGGUCUCUAUUAUAAAAUUAAUCAAAUAAAAUGCUGUCAGUAUUUCCUAUA
ensembl:lncRNA